AAAAUACAGACUCCAUUGUGAACAAAGAACAGGCAUCUGCAUACCCAUAGUAGUGCUAUUUGUACACAAUUACCAAUUUUAUAUGCACAAUGAUCAAUUACUUGUUUCUGCCUGCAAAUUUUACAGAAACAGAAAUCUAUCUUCUUACUCUAAAAAAAUAUAGUUAUCUGGGUGUGAAGGGAGCCAAAAGAGUACUCCUUUACUACAUCUUCCUCAAGAG
rnacentral:lncRNA from 1 species